rnacentral:sRNA from 1 species
AAAAACCGGGAAUCCCCGGAUUGUAAUCGCUGGAAUGAAACAAACAAGGAAGUCAAAAACUUAAGACAAAUGCAUUUGACCGUACCUGUAAAUUCUGUAUCUGUUUUGAACAGGAGCUAAUUUCGUUUAGAGUUUUUGACUGGGUUAAACAGGAGCUCAUUUUUGAUGAUUUUUAAGCGUUGUCUAAUGUAAGAAAUCUUGAAAUAUAUGGGCCAGUAAUAUGCUUCUCAUUAUUGUAUCUAUUACAACACUUUUCACAGAAUGUUAUGGAACUGCAUCAAGUAUCGCACAGACGAAUUGGACAAACGCUUAUUGGCAAUGUAGGACGGAGGGGAAAAUAUUAUCAAAUCUGCAAACACAUCCGUUAUUAAAUGAAAGUUAUUUUUGGACAGGACAUUAUACUCGUUUGUCAGAGUGGAUCAAAAUAAUAGAUUACGGAUGGAGAAAAUUACUAACAGCAAGAACAGCUGUUUUAUAAAAACCGGUUUAAAUUUGUUAUCACAUAGACUGUUGAGUUCAGAUCGGAUGCAGGAAAAUUUAAUCGAUGAAAAAUAACUCUUGAAAUUUUGCUUUUUAUAAUAAAAUCUACCUUUUUAU